AUAGUUUAUUGCUAUAAUUUAUCUUAGAAUAAAUUAUAGUAAAACAAAGCUAUGAGGAUAUUGAACUUGAACCGUAUUUAAUGUAAUAUACAGCUAUAUUGUCUCCGGCUCCUAUUUGGGAUUCAGAACUUAUCACACUAAGACAUUCUGCAGAAUGCUUCAAUGCAAUAUGGGUGCAGAUCCAGUGCUAACGUAACUACUGCAGGAAAAUUCAAGUUUUCUCCCUGAAAAAUGCUAAAUUCCAAAAUCCUACACACUAAUCCAUUUUUACUUCAUCUUUCCCAUAAUCCAUUUUCAUAUCUGAAAGAUAUUCUUGGCUGAAGCCCUACACUGUCUGCAUCAUGUUAUUUUCUUUGCAAGUUUGCUUUUAGAAAACAUGAUAAAGAAAGCAAUAUAUCCCAAAGGCAUCCCAAGUAAACCAUUACAAAUUCUUAUUCUCUUUUGCAUUAAUUUGAAUAAAGUGAGGAAGAAAAGCCUGUUAAGUUGUCCUGAUUCUCAGAUAAAAUUUCCCUGCUUUCAUGUCCCCCUACUAUGUCACACAGAAAGACACUCCAGAUACUUGUCACUUCGCUCACCAAGAAGUUGCUACCAUCACCAACAAUACAUUCACACUAAUUUUUGAGGCUUGUAUUCUAAUCAUGAGAACUUUUUAAAAUUACAUAUUUUGAAAAAAUCUUUUCUCUGAACCAACCUCAGGACAAAAACAUUGCCCUAUGCUUCAAGGUUCCUUGCAUUAACUCGGUACAGUAGUAAUCAAAGCCGAAAUGCCUUCAAAUCAAGGGCUUGCUUCUUCCUUUCCGUAACUCAAAGUUCAACAGGAGAGUAGUGUGUGCUUUUUCUUCUACUGUCUUGCUGGGUUUUGCCUAUAGAAUUUUAAGAUUUGUUUCAUUCCUGGGCACCUGGCAGGCUGUGAUUUUCAUGUGAGAAAACAACUCCCAGGCUAUCAUUAAGAAGCCAGAAGCUUCUCCCAGUUCAGCUGUCCUCCAGGAGAGUACCUGAUUCUAUCUAAACUACAAAGGGCAAAAUAACAGAGUAAAUUCCCAAGUAAUGGAGGCAAAUAUAAAAAGGAAUAUUAUUUAUUACCAUCUUUAUUAACACUCACAUGUAACCUUUGUUUUUUACACAAAAGUCUACUUUAGAAGGAUGCCUCCUUGAUUUAUCAUGCCCAACAGGGCCUUAUGUUCCUGGAUCAUUUUCCCUUUCUCCACCCCAGCCCACCCCCACAUCCAAAUUAUUCUUACAUGUUCACAGAUACCACGAAAAUUUUGUAAACAAGAUUUGGAUUACUGGAACUUGAUUUCAUCAACAUUCCACUUCAAGAUGAAGGCAGGUGCAGGAGAGGGUAAGAAAUGGGGGAACUGGGAAGGGAGAAGGGGCAGGGGUCAGGGAGAAGGGGCAACUAGUUAGAACUUUCAAGUCUUGCCUUUUCUGAGGUGUGUGAGCUCUGUGUGUGUGUGUGUGUGUGUGUGUGUGUGUGUGUGUGUGUUCCUUGAAAUUCACCGACUCAAAAACAUUGACAGCAAGUGCCUGUGUGGUUGUUUAUAUUAUAUAUCUAUAAUAGAACAUGUGGGUUUCUCAGUUUGGGUCUGGGUUGUGUUUGUUGAAACACUCCACAGUGCUCUUUGUGGGUGGAGUCUACCGGGCACCAGAUCUCCUGGGAACGCCUCUCAGAGCCGGGGCUUCCGAAGCAGGGUCUUGCUGAGAUCUUUGACCUCCUCGGGGCUGUUCACCCGCUCAUAGCCCAGCACAGCCAUGGGCUGGUAGCAAAACUCCUCCACCUGUUUGAUCUGCUGGAAGGUGAGUGCGGUCCGCCAGGCGUUGGCGGCCUGUGUGGCAUUGCGUGCAGACACCACGAAAGGCUUAGAGGAGGAGCCCGAGCCACUGGUCAUGUUCAGGGCGAACUGCUCCAUUUCAGGGCUCACUAGCAGCCCCACAAAGUCAUAUACCUUCCGCAAUGUCUUAACGGGGUCUCCCACCAGAUCCUCGUACCGCACCACCAGGUAGUGGCCCUGCAGCCAGUCAGGGGGCUGCAGGGCUGUCUGCAGCGUCUUGGCCAUGCUGUUGCAUAUGACCUCCAUAGCGCCGAGCGCAUGGUAGUCUGCUGGGCCACCCAUGCCCUCCUUCUUGGCACUCAGCUUAUGCCCAGCGGCCUCCAGGAAGGGCAUACGAUGGGCCCGUGGGUCCCGGCUGCGUACCACCUGUAGGCUCUCUCGGAUGAGGCCAUGGCGCGAGCGGAUACGUGAGCUGGCAACUGCACGGGGAUCACGCACCAGGUGGAUGACCUUGAGGUCCAGGGCCGGGUCUCGAAGCAGCGGCGCCAACACUGCCACGUCAAAGACGCGCACACCCUUGAUAACCAGCGUGCGGUACUUGCGGCACUCCUCUUCGAAGCGUGCCAGGCGCUGAGGCGGGCACUUCUUGCACACCCUGUCGUCCACCAGCCCCACGACCUCCUUGCGGUAGGCGGGGCAGAGGGGCGAGGAGCACACCACCUUGUUGGUGGCGGCACCGAAAGAUGCCCAGCGUGGUGAGGUUGCGCCCCCCGCUGCCAGCGGGGCUGUACAGCUGGAAAACGGAGAGAUCGCAUCGGUAGAGAGCGCUCAGCAUGUCCCGCGCUGCUCCCUGCAGGGAGACAGCAUCCCCCGGGUACAGUUUUUGCCACACGUGCCACACUGGCUCGUAGAGAAAGAACACCUCCGGGUUCUGGUUGAAGAGCUCGCCGAAGAAGGACGAGCCCGAGCGCCACGUGGUGAACACAUAGACCAGUUGCCGCUUGUCCCCGCCGCCCCGGGUGCCAUUUCCCUGUGGGGCCGCGGCCCCUACCACCCCCGCCGCAGCUGCAGGCGCUGACCCUACGGCGGCUGCAGCAGGAGAGCGGUACGGGGUGCGGGGGUCUAAACGCGCGGGAGCGCGCGGGAGCGCGGCAGGAGGCAGCCCUGGGCGUCCCCAGCCGCCCCCAGAUGCCCCCGCCGCGGCACCCAGCGGCCCGUCGGGGUUGCACUGCUGCAGUGGCUCCUUGUGCCACUUGUAGUCCAGGAGGUUGAGCAUGGUGAGCACCAGCAGCAGUGCAUAGCCUGCGCACAGCACUAGCGCCUUCCUGCGGAACACCUUCAUUCCGAGCGGGGACGCGGGCCAGCGGCGUCCCGGGCGCCGGGGCCAGGGCGGGAGCAGGGCACGCGGUGAGGCGGCAGGCGCAGCCGGGAGCAGCCGGGGGAGCGCGCCCAGAGGCAGAGCUCGCGGCGGGCUGCGGCUCAUCACAGGCACAGCCGGGGCCGGCCACGCGGCGGAGGCGGUCCUGCAGCCCGAGAGGGGGAGACGCAGUGGGCCGGCUGCGGGAGCCGGCACUGGGGCCGCGGCUCCGAGGUGGGCGCGGCGGCAGGGGCGGCUGGUGUCCGACGCCCAGGGCUGGCUCUCCCAUGGCAGCGGCUCCGCCAGAGACCUGUGAGAGGAAGCGGAGUGAGUGGGUGCGCCCCGGUCUUCCUCCCAGCUACCUCCUCCCUAAGUAAUGCCCACCCUAGAGUCUCCCGGCUCCUUACUCACCUGGAGCCGCGGGUGCGCUCAAGCGCCUCGGGAUCACCGACCAGCGCACUGUCCGGCUGUCACUCGUCCCUUGAUUGCUGCUCUCUUGCGGGGGAUCGAGGAGUCUUCGACGGGGCCGAGAGAUUCCGCAGCCCAGGCCCUGGGCAGACUUUCCUGGCAGCGAGCGCCCGAAGCUGGGGAAGGGAAACUUUCACUGGGCCCUGAGCCCUGCAGCGCGAUCCGCCGAGCCCUCGCGUCCCGGCUUCAGCGACGUCUCCCUGCUCUCUCGGGACCGCAGUUCCUUUCUCGCUCCGGGAGGAGAAGCGGGCUACAGGCGAAGGCGGGGGCGGGGGCCUUUAUAGAGGACCCAGCUCCCAACAAAACGGAUCUUCCUCUGUCGCUCUUCGCCUCGGCACAGCGAAUGUUUCCAUCUCCCCGGUGGCGGCGGCGGCGGCUGCUCCUCCCAUCACCAGGAGAUGCCCCCGCGGGCAGCGCAGACGAGCCCGCUGCGCCUUCGCCUCGGACCGGCCCGGAAGGACCCCGCACACGCAGUCGAGACGAACGAGCCCAGUCCGCAGCGCUCCCUGCCGCCCCGCCCGGCACCAGCCGCUUCUGGCCCACAGGGUCUCCAGGCAGAGGAAGCCCCGGCCGCCGCCGCGCGAAAGCGGCGCCCGCAAGGAUGCUGCUCCCCGACUCCCCUACGCCGAGCGCCCGCAGCGCGCUCCGCCCGGCCUCUGCGCGCUCCUGCCAGCCGGCGCCGGGUUGGUGCGCUCCCCUGUCUCGUCGCGCGGCUCCGCCCCUCCGCCGCUCUGCCCUCCUCCGCCCCGGGUCCCACGCCCGCCCUCUUCGUGGCGCCCGAUCCCGCCGCCGCCUCUUUGGGAGCCGGGGCCGCGACCCUUUUCACCUCGGCGCCGCCUGGGCCGCCGUCCUCGAGUUGGAAGACUUAGGUCUCCGUGCGCACAGCACCCGGGCGCCGACGCGGGAUUCGCAGCGCUCGGGCGCCUCAGGCUGUAAAUGACUGAGAUUCUGCGUGACUGCGGAGUUGAUCCCACGUUCUGGAAAACGUGUUGAAGAUAAAGUUUGGACCGAAAUCCCCCGGCAGCGGUACUCUCCGCUCUUCCCUGGGGUCGAGAGCAGCCCCUCCAGGAACCGAAGACGCACUGCUCCCGAGAGCCUCGGAGGAGCGCCCUUCUCAGGCUGCUGACGCCCGGCUCGCCCUGUCAGCUGCUCUGUGGUUUCUGCCUCGAAAAGGAAGUAAUAAAUCUUUCUGGCCCAGAGGUCAAAGAAGACGCUUCAACUUUCCUGGAGUGCACCGCGGGGAGACUUCUGCGCGUUUACCGGACCUGUAUACCGGGCUGCUUCGUUUUUAUUACGCCGCCGGCAGAGAACUAACCUCCCGCUUCAGAGAGCUGCGUCCGCGGUGACUGAAGUCCUCCGGAAUUGGGGUGAUGGCGGAGGAGGCGACUCUGUUCUAAUUUACAGCAAAACACUUGUCCCGUUUCUUGGCUUUUAGAGAUGAGAUCAAAGACCCUAGUCUCAAAGGAAACACUGUCGUUGAAAAUCGAAAGUCAUUUUUUAGCUAGUUUAAGUACUUUUUGUCAAAGAGAGAAUCCUAAGCCACAUCCUCAACUUCAUCUGUAAAAUGGGGACAACUAUCUGCUAAAGAGAGACCGGAGAGAAGUUAGAGCGCGCAUGGGAAAGGUAAAACCCCAGCGCAGGGCUGCGGGUGAGAAGACAAAUUGCUGUGGGACCAGAAGCUCAGUGGCCGCGGGCACAGUGAGGACCUCGAAGAGGUGACCCUUUGGAGUCGUUACUAACAAAUUUGAAGUUGCUGCAAAAUUACUGUUGUUCUACUUGAGGCAGCCUCUCUCCGCCAGGAGACCUACCUAAAUUUAAGAUGUUGCCGUUAGAGCCAUUAUUCUACAUGAAGUUACAGAAUCUUCCAAGUACGAGAACUCUUAGCGAGCUAAGUUGUUUUCCGAUCCUAGCAAAAACAUCAGAAGCUCUAGUGCCAGUUCCACGUUCCUUUUGAUGAAAUCAUUGGAAUCUGGCACCUCUGUAGAGCAG
ensembl:lncRNA